GUAGAAUGCAAAAGUUCCUGUCUUCUCAAAAAAACCUGUGAGUUCUAGAAAAAGUGAACCCAGAAGAUUUGAUUUGGGAGGGGUAGUGAUGGAAACAAAAUCUCUGAAGACAGAUCUAUGGGGGGGAAAAAAUGGUUUGGGGCUUCUGCCUUGCACUGCACAAUAGUUCCCGACAGAUGGGCCUCAGAUAAUUCCUCCAGUGGUUGAGAUUCCCUCUCCCAUGCCCUCUUCCUUCUUAGGAAAGGGAAAGCCUGGAGGAAGCAGAUAGGCGUCCUGGGUUUUCUGGUCCUAGGCUUGGGUGGGAGUGUGCCAAGACCAGGGUGAGUUUUCUGGGCCCCGUGGAGUGUAGGAGAGGACAGAGAGACUGGGUACUUCAUAAAGGCCAGGCUUCUGUAUUCUUGGGAUCCAGAUUCCCCUGAAACUAGUUAUUUACCAGUUAGCCAGGCCUGGUUUUCUGGAAAUAAUCUUAAAUUCCAGAAAAGGGGGGAAAGGGUUUAUCUUUUCUGACUGGUACUUCAGGAUUUUAUAACAUUCUCUCUCAAACCCUUCCUUCAACUUCUCCCCCUUACUGUGUGUCUCUGAAUCUCAUUUUCCUGCUCUUUCUCUGCCUCUCUCUGAAUAUACAGGUCGUAUGUGACAUCUUUCCAUAUUUCUUUAGCCAUCCUAAAACGGAAAUCCAGACACCCUUUUACAGGCCAGGACCAGAAGCUCCAUUUCCGCUUCAGGUCUGAACCUUUAGCGUCUCCAAUUCUCAUGUCUCCUUCGGAGUCCGUGUCUCGCUCCCUUUCCUUUCCACCCCUCUUCGAAUCCGGAUCUUUAUAGGCUAAGGGCGCUAGCUAGGGUCUCUGGGGAAGAGGCGUCCUAGGCACUUCCCGAGGUCCAGGAGUAGCUUAUUACUGCGCAUCCAGAAUGGGAGGGGCACCUGGAGUGAACUGGGAUGUUAGGACUGGGACCCCAAAGCAAGGAGCUUCCAGAAAUAUCCCUUAACUCCCAUUUUCUAGCCCCUUCUGGCUCAGGCGCAUUCCCGGGUUUUUCCUUUCAGGCUCAGAGCGGCCUCCAGGCCCCACCCUCAACUCCCCUUCCCCCUACGAGAUGGACACUUUAUAGGGAGAGCUUUUUAUUCUCUCGUUAAACCUGCCAAAGCACAGGAGACAGCCAGGGAGAGAGAGGAGGCGACCGAGGUGGGGCUGGCUCCGUCUCUCCUCUCCCGCCUCCCCACCCCCGACGUAGCUGGGUUGUUCCAAACUGGAAAGCGGCGGGAAGACACCCUGUCUCUUUUCUCUCGUUUUCAAAUGCAAUUAAAAAAAAAAAGCCGAGAGAGAAAGAGAGGAGGGAGGAGAGGGAGAAGGAGGAAGGCGGGGAGAGAAGAAAGGGAGGAGGGAGUGAGCAAGGGAGCGAGGGAGGGUGAGGAGGGAAAAGAGAGAAAGCGGGGGUAAAG
ensembl:lncRNA